UUACAAUACCUGUUCUCAUCCAAUCACAGAAGUUAAGCAACUUCAAGCCUGGUUAGUACCUAGAUGGGUGAUCGUGUGAGAAUAACAAGCGCUGUAA